AACCCUGCCUAAAGCUGAGGCCACGCGUCCCUGGGGAUGGUGACCCUGGGCGUGGGCAGGACCCGCGCCAUCAGGAUUCAGGGUUAGGUACCCGGAUGAGAGCCUAGAGCCAGGCACAGGAGACAUUGCGGAGUCUGGGCAAUGUCCUGGCCGCCGUCCGGGAAGGAGGCGCCUCGGGUCGCUCAUUACCCCGGCGCAGUGGCGGCUCCCGGCCCGCAGCCGGCGGCGGAGCGGGGGCAGGCGGCCGAGACGCGCGAGCCAUUUGCAUUCCCCGGCAGUCAUUUUUAUAUGCGGAGGCCAUGACAGUUGGGCUGCUCACCACCGUGUCCUGCUCACCUGGGACCUGCAGUGUGGCCAGGCCAAAUCCUUCGGCGAAGGAAACACAGUGUGAGGGAAAGAUGGAGAACUCUCGCGGUAGUGGUUGUAAAGUAAGGAUUGAAUGUUGAAAGCUUCAUACUCUGGAUAUAGUGUGUGAAAUAAAAUAUAGUGCCUUGAUCAA